AUUGAACGCUGGCGGCAGGCCUAACACAUGCAAGUCGAACGGUAACAGGAAGAAGCUUGCUUCUUUGCUGACGAGUGGCGGACGGGUGAGUAAUGUCUGGGAAACUGCCUGAUGGAGGGGGAUAACUACUGGAAACGGUAGCUAAUACCGCAUAACGUCGCAAGACCAAAGAGGGGGACCUUCGGGCCUCUUGCCAUCGGAUGUGCCCAGAUGGGAUUCGCUAGUAGGUGGGGUAACGGCUCACCUAGGCGACGAUCCCUAGCUGGUCUGAGAGGAUGACCGGCCACACUGGAACUGAGACACGGUCCAGACUCCUACGGGAGGCAGCAGUGGGGAAUAUUGCACAAUGGGCGCAAGCCUGAUGCAGCCAUGCCGCGUGUAUGAAGAAGGCCUUCGGGUUGUAAAGUACUUUCAGCGGGGAGGAAGGGAGUAAAGUUAAUACCUUUGCUCAUUGACGUUACCCGCAGAAGAAGCACCGGCUAACUCCGUG
rnacentral:rRNA from 1 species